AGAUUCUUAGCUCAAUUGGUAGAGCAGAUGCCUUCUAAGCAUUUGGUUAUAGGUUCGAGUCCUAUAGAAUACA